UAUACUGAGUUCAAAGUAUAUAAUUUCCUGUACGGGUCUUCAAAGCUUAAUCAUUUAAGUACUCCAGAUAAAAUCCUCAAGCUACAAAGGCUUACAACAGCAGUAAAACUGAUUGAAGCCACGUCUAAAAGCUUCCGUCUGCAGCCUGAUUUUAGACAUGACGGUAGCGUCAACUACCAAAUAAACAUUUUAAAAAACUUGCGACGAGAUUUUCGAAAGAACAUCAAACCAAUUAGAUUUGAGAUUUAUUCCAGACUCUGUGGAAUUCAAGCGUCAACCACGUCACAUUGCAGCAGAGUUCUGAGCAUACUAUGUUGCACAUUUUCAUGGAUCUUGAGUUUUUUUGGUAAAGGUUGACUUAAAGAGACAACAAGCAAUCUAUCGCGCGCUGCUUGGCUAAAGAAUUAUCUCAGCCUCUGUGACACAUG